GGGGGCGUAGCGCAGCCAGAACUAUGUGUGGUUAAGCAGCGCGGCUGGCUCCAGACCAGCAAGUCGUGGGUUCAAAUCCCACCGCCCCCA
rnacentral:tRNA from 1 species